rnacentral:rRNA from 1 species
CAGCCGCCACGGGAAAACGAAGGGGGCUAGCGUUGUUCGGAAUUACUGGGCGUAAAGCGCACGUAGGCGGAUAUUUAAGUCAGGGGUGAAAUCCCAGAGCUCAACUCUGGAACUGCCUUUGAUACUGGGUAUCUUGAGUAUGGAAGAGGUUAGUGGAAUUGCGAGUGUAGAGGUGAAAUUCGUAGAUAUUCGCAGGAACACCAGUGGCGAAGGCGGCUAACUGGUCCAUAACUGACGCUGAGGUGCGAAAGCGUGGGGAGCAAACAGGAUUAGAUACCCCCGUAGUCCCUGUCUCUUAUAC